UGAUGAUGCUUUGCCAAGUUAUCAAACCUCUCAAAUAAUCACAAAUACAGAGAAUUUCGAUUUGUCUGUUGAUAGUCCCUUUGGCUUAGACUUCAGCGCUAUACCGGAUUUUAAUAAUAUUUUGGAAUUGGCGCCAGAUUAUGCCACAAAAAUGGAUGAUGCGACGGCUGAUGGUAUUCUACGGGAUAUAUUGAACAAACCUGAUUAUUGUCACAACACCUCUAUACAGAACAGCAAUGUUGUUGAUGAGCAACCGUUUUUCCCACACGCGACAGGGGGUCGUGCUAAAACAUUCGAAUAUAAAG